rnacentral:rRNA from 1 species
UGGUAGUGGGGGACAACGUUUCGAAAGGAACGCUAAUACCCGCAUACGUCCUACGGGAGAAAGCAGGGGACCUUCGGGCCUUGCGCUAUCAGAUGAGCCUAGGUCGGAUUAGCUAGUUGGUGGGGUAAUGGCUCACCAAGGCGACGAUCCGUAACUGGUCUGAGAGGAUGAUCAGUCACACUGGAACUGAGACACGGUCCAGACUCCUACGGGAGGCAGCAGUGGGGAAUAUUGGACAAUGGGCGAAAGCCUGAUCCAGCCAUGCCGCGUGUGUGAAGAAGGUCUUCGGAUUGUAAAGCACUUUAAGUUGGGAGGAAGGGCAGUAAGUUAAUACCUUGCUGUUUUGACGUUACCGACAGAAUAAGCACCGGCUAACUCUGUGCCAGCAGCCGCGGUAAUACAGAGGGUGCAAGCGUUAAUCGGAAUUACUGGGCGUAAAGCGCGCGUAGGUGGUUUGUUAAGUUGGAUGUGAAAGCCCCGGGCUCAACCUGGGAACUGCAUCCAAAACUGGCAAGCUAGAGUACGGUAGAGGGUGGUGGAAUUUCCUGUGUAGCGGUGAAAUGCGUAGAUAUAGGAAGGAACACCAGUGGCGAAGGCG